rnacentral:tRNA from 1 species
GCUGUCGUAGCUCAGCGGUAGAGCACUUGGCCUGUACCCAAGACGUCGUGGGUUCGAAUCCUGCCGGCAGCU